UCCGGUUGAUCCUGCCGGACCCGACCGCUAUCGGGGUAGGGCUAAGCCAUGCGAGUCGCGCGCCCGGGGGCGCCCGGGAGCGGCGCACGGCUCAGUAACACGUGCCCAACCUACCCUCGGGAGGGGGACACCCCCGGGAAACUGGGGCCAAUCCCCCAUAGGGGAGGGGCGCUGGAAGGCCCCCUCCCCCAAAGGGAUGGCGGCCGAUCCGCCGCCAUCCGCCCGAGGAUGGGGGCACGGCCCAUCAGGUAGUUGGCGGGUUAAAGGCCCGCCAAGCCGAAGACGGGUAGGGGCGGUGAGAGCCGCGAGCCCCGAGAUCGGCACUGAGACAAGGGCCGAGGCCCUACGGGGUGCAGCAGGCGCGAAUACUCCGCAAUGCGGGCAACCGCGACGGGGCUACCCCGAGUGCCGGGCGAAGAGCCCGGCUUUUGCCCGGUCUAAAAAGCCGGGAGAAUAAGCGGGGGGCAAGUCUGGUGUCAGCCGCCGCGGUAAUACCAGCUCCGCGAGUGGUCGGGGUGUUUACUGGGCUUAAAGCGCCCGUAGCCGGCCCGGCAAGUCGCUCCUGAAAUCCCCGGGCUCAACCCGGGGGCGGGGGGCGAUACUGCCGGGCUAGGGGGCGGGAGAGGCCGCCGGUACUC
rnacentral:rRNA from 1 species